AAUUCGGUGGUGAAGGCAUCACAUCCGCCCCAUAUAUUUGGUGUGCAUUCGGCUGGAUAUUCCGCGGAAGGAGUCCGUUCGACCCGGGCCCGAGUUA